UGUCAUUUAAUUGUUGCUCUGAAAGCUUCUUCAGUGAAAACCGGCUGGUGUUCUGCUUUGAAACAAACUGCUGUUGAGGUCUGUGUUUUUAGGUUUAACCCCACAGUUUCUGAAUGAACUGAUAGUUUAUUUUUUUCCUGAUCAAUGUGGACAUUAUAAUUGAUGGUAACAUUUACUGAUCAUAUAAUCAGCAUGACAAUAUAACAGUAUAACAUUCUGACCACCUGACUAAUACUGUGUUGGUCCCUUUAUGCUGCUAAAACUCCUCUGACCCAGUGGUUCAUCAGAACCUCUGGGGAUGUCCUGUGGAUUCUGUGGAUCCUGUGGGUUGCAGGGUGGAUCCUACCUAGACCAGGCUGAUCCUGGACCAUCCCACAGAUGCUCAAUCAGAUCUGGAUGUGGGGAGUGUGGAACCCAGAUGUUCAGAGGGAGAUGAUGCCACAUCUGGUCCAGCUGAUGGAAGGUCUUGAAGUUCUCUGACUGGCCUCGACUGAAGAUGGUCGUCUCACUGGAUUUAAGAUGCACAAUGAGGGACGUCUGCAGAGACUGAGAAAGAGUCUCACCACAUCCUGACAUGAGGAAAAAGACUUGAUUGAAGACUACAAUGAGAAAAACUAUCAGACAGCAGACGGCUGCAUUCAAGGUGAGCUCUGAACAUUUGAUCUGGAACAGGAAUUCAAUAACUGCAGCAUGAGCUUCAUUUCAGUCUGUAGCUGCUGAAUUCAUGGAUGAAUCAUCUGGCACUAGAGAGGAAGACCAUCAAACAUCCACGUCAGCUGAUGGAGGUCCAAGAGUCUCACCAAACAAACAACCUACAGAGUGAAGACCUCUAAUCUGAUUGGACGGCCUCCUAUUCAGCCACAUGUGCGAACAAAUGCCUCUGAGUUGAUUUGUUUUCUAAAAUAAAUCUAGUUUGAGUCCUAAUCUAUGCCUGUGUGUUUGCUUCUUUACACCGCUGUUAACAGUUUAGGCUGUUAGAUUGUUCCAGAUAAGACAAGUACAAGAUUCUUCUACCACAAACCUGACAGGAAGAACUCCAACAGCUACUGAAUGUUCCUGUGGUUCCCUCAAGGCUACAGGAGGAGCCCUACGAGGACGAGCCGGUCCACCUGAUGGAGGCCAGUCGCUGUGGUUCAAAGCCAACACCGACUACAUGGACUUCUACUGGACCACACGGAGGCCUUCAAACUGGACCAACAAGUUCACCGACUCCCCGACUUGUGGGUCUGAGGACACCGCCGAGCCUCGGCCCAGCCGGCCUCCUGUCUGUGGGUGUUUGAGUGCUGAGAGGUUUGUGGAUGCAUGUGAACGUUCUGUGUUGAAACAGCAGCUUUGGACUCAGUAACGCCAGGAAAAACCAAGAGCUCCUUUAUCUGUAACUUCCACUAAAAAACUGGUGAAAAUAAGUUUGCCAGGGUUCUGACUGAUAACAGAUUAUUAAAUAAUGAAAAUAAUCGUUUAAAUAUUCCUUUAAACAAUCCUUUUAGGUCUACAUUUCCUUUACACUGACUUCUUGGUAUAUGUACAUGUAUGUCGAAAAAUGUCAUUUUUCAACAUGUUGUAAAAACGUGCCAUAUGAUGAAAUAAUGUAAAGGAGGCCGUGAAAAACACCCCAGAAAGGUUUUCUUUGAAAAAAAAAAUCAUCAUGACUUUUGGCGCAAAAAAUGUUCAUGCGUUCUUUGUGUAAAAACUCAGAGAUUUCAGGUAUCAGAAGGUGGUUUUCAACUUUCUUUGUUAACUUUCUGCUUCAACUUUAAACUAAAUUUCCUUCACUAAGCCAGCCCUCUGGACUUCCAGUAAGCUGUGUUCCUAUUGGCUGUCCAGGUGGCUGCUUGGUAUUAUCAGGAACACCUGAGCAGCUCAGUGUCUUCCUGCUUUAUUUAGCUGCAGACAAACAUUUCCUCUGUUUCUCUUCACCACUGAACCGGGUUUGGCUCCGUUGCUUUACUUUGUUCUUUAGGCGUUGGCUUGCAGCUUCCAGCAGUAAAAUCGUCUUUAAUGUGUUUCUUGGUGUGUUUCAGGGCUUUGUACCAGAUAGUUGUCUUAGUAAAUGUGGUUCUUUAGCCACAGUUAGCACAUGGUGCUAAUGUGUGCAGUGAUUAGUGGAUUUGGUGCAGCUGAGUUGUGUCUUUAUCUUGGCUGUAGUGAGUCUUUAGAGGUUUUUGGUCAGACACGUUCUGUAUUCUUGUUUGUGAACCAGCGUUGGUUGUCCAGAAGGUAAGAGUUCCUGUCCUGAUUCUCUGUUCUCAGAGGUUCUCUGGUAGGCUACAGGAGAGUUUAUCAUUUGGGUUAUGCUAGUUUGGUUUUUGUAUGGUUUCAUUUGGAUGACUAUCUUGAGGCCCCUCCAUGUGGUUCAGUAAGGUUUUCUGGAACAGUUCUACAAAGCAACCUGCAGCAGAAGAGACUUUGAGAGUUUUUAGUAAGUUCUGGAGACCAGACUUUAGAGCAGCAGAAACAUUUGUCAGCAGUUUGAGCAGGAGAAGGUGAGCUUCAGAGUAGAAAUGAGAUGGAAACCUUCUUGACCCGUGUGGUGAGGUCCUGUACCAAGAGUUUGAGCAGGUUGUGAAGAGUCUGUAGUUCUCUGGUCUGAAAGCAGGAGAGAAAACAGGAGAUAUUGUUGGUUCUUCUUUCACUCUGCAGUUUCCAGUUUCCUUAGACUGAAUAUCAAGUUUAUAUGUUAAAUGAUUUACUAUGUGUGCCCAAGAAGACUUCAAUAAACUCCCUCCAUCCCCUGGACACAACAUAUUUUAUUACCAUGUUAAAUCUUUUUUGUUUGUUUGUUUUAAAUGUUUUUGAGUUUGAAUCCUAGUUU